UAGUUCUCAGGGGGGUCCUGCCACCUCUCUCCGCGCCAUCUUGCUGCAGAACAUUUUCCCUGCUGUUGAGCCGAACAGCCUCCAAGGACCCUCCCUGGUGUGCCUCCUUGUCCUCGGGAGGACCCUGGCCUGAGCUCAGCCCUGGGGCACUGGCAGCUGUGGGCGCAGCCCUCGGACAAGGCAUCCCGAGAUCACACUCACCUGUGGGCUGCUUCCCGCCCCCCCCCCCCCCCCGCCUGCCGCGUCUGCCGGCUGCCUGGUUCUCACCGUCCAACCGCCGGGACUCGCGCCUGCCCGAGUGAGGGCCCAGGGAUGCUCAACCGGCAGGACCCUGCAGCUCCCCAACGCUGCUCCGCAGACGCAGACGCACACGAGUGUUGCCGCCACAGUGACGAGGGCGCAUGCCACCUACAAACACCUCCCGGGGCUUCUCAUCGAAUGUGCACACAGCCUGCGGAAAUGGAGGACAGAGCCUCGGUCUGAGGAGGAAACCGCAGUCCUGCGGCCACGCCUGGAAGCCUGGGGCAGCCUGGCCGAGGAGGGAGUGGCCUCAAGGAUUCGGAGCUAAGAGAGUGAAAUGCAUUACCCUAACAAGCACCAACGUUAAGCACGUAAAUUCAGGUUCUGCAGAAGAUAAGGAUUCCAGCGUGUGCAGACGGUUGCGACCCGUGCAGACUCUGCUUCCUCUGAGAUUACAGCAAGUAGGUGGGAGUCAUCAGCCAGAGCCACCAAUGAGGGUGCCUACGGACAGCAGACGUGGAUUUCCCACAGUUCCGGAGGCUGACAGGCCAAGAUCAAGGGGCCAGCAGGUCGUGUUCUAGUGAGGACCCGCUUCCUGGCUCAGAGGGUGCCUCCUCUGAGUUCUCAUGGGACAGAAGGGGCGGGAGCUUCACAGAAGGUGCUCCAGCAUCUGAGACACAGAGCCGGCAGACGGGCACCCGGAGCAAGCGCUAGAGCAGGGCCUGCCCCUCCCACCCGAGGGGAGAGGAAGGAGUCCCUCUGCACACACGCGGCACGUGUGGGAGGAAAGGGCGCGUUUAAGUCGUCUUGUUGAGGGAAUUCAAAAUGGUGGGGGACCUCCCGGGACAGGCCGCUGAUCUGGGCACCGAAACCACUGCGUGGAAGCUCAGGCGACUUAGCAUCAGCUGGGACCUCACUGCAGGCGGCAGGUAGCCUGGUCUGAGCUGGGUUAAGUACAAGGAAACUUUCUGCUUACGCAGCUGGAAAGUCCAGGGCUGGAGAGGCCUCGGGCGGCGUGGACACAGCUCACCCUGUGACAGCGGGCGGCCUCGCUGCUCCUCUGUCCUGCCCCGCUCUCUUGCUCCAAUUUCACAUGAGCCCUCCCCGUGAUGGGGCAAGACAGCACCAGCGGUCCCAGCCAAAUCCUCUCUCCAAGUCGGUCAGUGGGUCCUGCAAUUGGCUCUCGCUGACCCGUUGUCUGCCGUCUGCCAGUCCUCGUGACCACGGACCACAGGCUGCACUCGCUGGCUCCAGGCCAGAGCCCCUGACCCAGCUGGGAGAUGCCACUCAGCGCUGGCCUGGGCGGAGGAGAGUGGAGAGACCCUACCGCCCUCAGGAUUUAGGUCAGCUCCCUCCUGUCCCAGGGCCCAGCCCGCCGGCUCCCACCAUGUCCAGGGCC
rnacentral:lncRNA from 1 species